rnacentral:rRNA from 1 species
UACGUAGGGUGCAAGCGUUGUCCGGAAUUAUUGGGCGUAAAGAGCUCGUAGGCGGUCUGUCGCGUCUGCUGUGAAAAUCCAGGGCUCAACCCUGGACCUGCAGUGGGUACGGGCAGACUAGAGUGCGGUAGGGGAGAUCGGAAUUCCUGGUGUAGCGGUGAAAUGCGCAGAUAUCAGGAGGAACACCGGUGGCGAAGGCGGAUCUCUGGGCCGUAACUGACGCUGAGGCGCGAAAGCGUGGGGAGCAAACAGG